rnacentral:rRNA from 1 species
AGCGAACGUUAGCGGCGGGCUUAACACAUGCAAGUCGAGCGAGAAAAGGGCUUCGGCCCCUAGUACAGCGGCGGACGGGUGAGUAACACGUGGAUAACCUGCCCUCUGGUGGGGGACAACUACCCGAAAGGGUGGCUAAUACCGCAUAAGUCGACCGGGACCUUGGUCCUGGUCGGGAUAGAUAGCUGGCUUCGGCCAGCCGUCGCCAGAGGAGGGGUCCGCGUCGCAUCAGCUAGUUGGUGGGGUAAUGGCUCACCAAGGCUUAGACGCGUAGCUGGUCUGAGAGGAUGAUCAGCCACACUGGGACUGAGACACGGCCCAGACUCCUACGGGAGGCAGCAGUGGGGAAUAUUGGACAAUGGGCGCAAGCCUGAUCCAGCCACGCCGCGUGAGUGAUGAAGGCCUCGGUC